rnacentral:rRNA from 1 species
CUGGUUGAUCCUGCCAGUAGUCAUAUGCUUGUCUCAAAGAUUAAGCCAUGCAUGUCUAAGUCCAAGCUGUGUUUACACGGCGAGACCGCGGACGGCUCAUUAAAUCAGUCGUGGUCCAAAUGGGCCAGUGCAAAUCCUACUUGGAUAACUGUGGUAAUUCCAGAGCUAAUACAUGCAACUGAUAUCCCGAAGGCGAUGGCUGUGCUUGCUUGUCUUGCGCUUUCACUGUUCUGACGGAUGCUUUUAUUAGACCAAGCCGCUGAGGACUUGGGGGUGUUCGCGCUCUCUUGUCUGACUCGUGUAAUGGUGACUCUGGAUAACCAAUUCUGACAAGCGCACGUACUUCUCUUCUGAGCGAGACGGCGCUGCCACUUUCGAGUGUCUGCCUUAUCAGCUAUCAACCGUUCGUUAUGCGCGACCGAUGGCUUUGACGGGUAACGGGGAAUCAGGGUUCGAUUCCGGAGAGGCAGCCUGAGAGACGGCUACCACGUCCAAGGACGGCAGCAGGCACGCAAAUUACCCAAUCCCAGCAAAUGGGGGAGGUAGUGACGAAAUCUAACGAUGCGGGCGCCCUUUCUGGGGCCCCGCAAUCGGAAUGGGCACUUUCUAAACAACCUGUUGAGAACCUACUGAAGGGCAAGUCUGGUGCCAGCAGCCGCGGUAAUUCCAGCUUCAGCAGCAUCUAUUAAAGUUGCUGCGGUUAAAAGGCUCGCAGUUGAAUGUCUGUAUCGAGCGCAGGUCAGGUGGACGUU